rnacentral:rRNA from 1 species
CCUACGGGUGGCAGCAGUGGGGAAUAUUGCACAAUGGGGGAAACCCUGAUGCAGCGACGCCGCGUGAGUGAAGAAGUAUUUCGGUAUGUAAAGCUCUAUCAGCAGGGAAGAAGAAAGACGGUACCUGACUAAGAAGCCCCGGCUAACUACGUGCCAGCAGCAGCGGUAAUACGUAGGGGGCAAGCGUUAUCCGGAUUUACUGGGUGUAAAGGGAGCGUAGAGGGCUAUGGAAGUCUGAAGGGAAAGCCCAGGGCGCAACCCUGGGACUGCUUUGGAAACUGGGGAGAUAGAGUGCUGGAGAGGUAAGAGGAAUUCCUAGUGUAGCGGUGAAAUGCGGAGAUAGUAGGAGGAACACCAGGGGCGAAGGCGGCUUACUGGACAGUAACUGACGUUGAGGCUCGAAAGCGUGGGGAGCAAACAGGAUUAGAUACCCGAGUAGUC